GACGAACGCUGGCGGCGCGCCUAACACAUGCAAGUCGAACGGAGUUGUGUUGAAAGCUUGCUGGAUAUACAACUUAGUGGCGGACGGGUGAGUAACACGUGAGUAACCUGCCUCUCAGAGUGGAAUAACGUUUGGAAACGAACGCUAAUACCGCAUAACGUGAGAAGAGGGCAUCCUCUUUUUACCAAAGAUUUAUCGCUGAGAGAUGGGCUCGCGGCCGAUUAGGUAGUUGGUGAGAUAACAGCCCACCAAGCCGACGAUCGGUAGCCGGACUGAGAGGUUGAUCGGCCACAUUGGGACUGAGACACGGCCCAGACUCCUACGGGAGGCAGCAGUGGGGGAUAUUGCACAAUGGGGGAAACCCUGAUGCAGCGACGCCGCGUGAGGGAAGACGGUUUUCGGAUUGUAAACCUCUGUCUUUAGGGACGAAAAAAUGACGGUACCUAAGGAGGAAGCCACGGCUAACUACGUGCCAGCAGCCGCGGUAAUACGUAGGUGGCAAGCGUUGUCCGGAAUUACUGGGUGUAAAGGGAGCGUAGGCGGGGAGACAAGUUGAAUGUCUAAACUAUCGGCUUAACUGAUAGUCGCGUUCAAAACUAUCACUCUUGAGUGCAGUAGAGGUAGGCGGAAUUCCUAGUGUAGCGGUGAAAUGCGUAGAUAUUAGGAGGAACACCAGUGGCGAAGGCGGCCUACUGGGCUGUAACUGACGCUGAGGCUCGAAAGCGUGGGUAGCAAACAGG
rnacentral:rRNA from 1 species